rnacentral:rRNA from 1 species
GACGAACGCUAGCGGCGGGCUUAAUACAUGCAAGUUUAGGGGUUCAGCAAUGGACACCGGCGGACGGGUGCGUAACACGUAUGCAACCUGCCCUUUACUGGAGGAUACUCCGGAGAAAUUCGGCACAACACUCCAUAUACUCAUACUUUCGCAUGGGAGAAUGAGGAAAGGUUACGGUAAAGGAUGGGCAUGCGUCUGAUUAGCUAGUUGGCGAGGUAACGGCUCACCAAGGCGACGAUCAGUAGCUGGUCUGAGAGGAUGAUCAGCCACACUGGCACUGAGAUACGGGCCAGACUCCUACGGGAGGCAGCAGUAGGGAAUAUUGGUCAAUGGGCGAAAGCCUGAACCAGCCACGCCGCGUGCAGGAAGAAGGUCCUCUGGAUUGUAAACUGCUUUUGCCAAGGGAUAAAGAGAGGCUAUACGCCUAAAUGAAGGUACUUGGUGAAUAAGCCACGGCUAACUACGUGCCAGC